GAUCAUGGCUCAGGAUGAACGCUGGCGGCGUGCUUAACGCAUGCAAGUCGAACGAAGCACUUGAUUUGAUUUUCUUCGGAAUUGAAGAUCUUGUGACUGAGUGGCGGACGGGUGAGUAACGCGUGGGCAACCUGCCUUGUACAGGGGGAUAACAGUUAGAAAUGACUGCUAAUACCGCAUAAGACCACGGAGCUGCAUGGCUCAGUGGGAAAAACUCCGGU
rnacentral:rRNA from 1 species